rnacentral:rRNA from 1 species
CUGGUUGAUCCUGCCAGUAGUCAUAUGCUCGUCUCAAAGAUUAAGCCAUGCAUGUCUCAGUACUAGCCAACCUUAGGCGAAACCGCGAAUGGCUCAUUAAAUCAGUUAUGAUUCACUGGAUCUUGUAAAAUCCUUACUUGGAUAACCGUGGUAAUUCUAGAGCUAAUACGUGCAACUGAGCUCCGACCCUGCCCCGUCAGGGGUGGGGGAAGGGCGCCUUUAUUAGAAUCAAAAACCGGUCGGACUUCGGUCCGUUCCUUAAUCGGUUUAUUGAUGACUCUGGAUAACCUAGCCGAGCGCUGAGGUCUUAGUACCGGCGCCGUAUCCAUAAAGUGUCUGCCUUAUCAGCUCUCGAUUGUAGGCUACGCGCCUACACUGGCUGUAACGGGUAACGGGGAAUCAGGGUUCGAUUCCGGAGAGGGAGCCUGAGAAACGGCUACCACAUCUAAGGAAGGCAGCAGGCACGCAAAUUACCCACUCCCGGCUCGGGGAGGUAGUGACGAAAAAUAACGAUGCAGACUUCAUCCGAGGCUUUGCAAUCGGAAUGAGUCCAAUCUAAAUACUUGGACGAGGAUCCAUUGGAGGGCAAGUCUGGUGCCAGCAGCCGCGGUAACUCCAGCUCCAAUAGCGUAUAUUAAAAUUGCUGCGGUUAAAAAGCUCGUAGUUGGAUUUCUGAUGCGGACCGGGAGCCCAUCUAAGGCGCGCCCCCCGUCACGCACGAGCGCCACCCCUGCGCUCUCUCCGUCCUCGAAACCGGACGGCGCGGAUACGGUACAGUUCGCGCGCGUCGCUUUCUUCGAUAUUCCCUUCUCCUCUCCCUGGUCGGUCGCGCCUCCUGCUCCUGCUGCUGCUGCUCAGUCAGUCAGUCAGUCAGUCAGAUCCGCGGUCGGCCGCUAAAAGGGGGGGGGUCGGUCGGGUUCCGUCGAUCUAAGCUCGCGUCGGGCGUUAACGCCGCCCGCGUCAAAUCCGGCGUAGGGGGAUUAAAAAGCGGUGAGAGUGCGCUUAGGGGUCGCUCCGGGCGGGAAAACGCGCCCGGUGGUUAACUACCCGGCUCCGGAUUUUGAAAGCCGUCGGCUUUCACGGGGUGCUCUUUACCGAGUGUCCCGCGUGGCCGACAACUUCACUUUGAAAAAAUUAGAGUGCUCAGAGCAGGCAAAAUCUUAAAGCCUGAAUGGUAGUGCAUGGAAUGAUGGAACAGGACCUCGGUUCUGCCUUUUUCUACCCGGUUUUUCUGGACCGAGGUAAUGAUUAACGGGAACAGACGGGGGCAUUAGUAUUGCGGCGCUAGAGGUGAAAUUCUUGGACCGUCGCAAGACUAACUACUGCGAAAGCAUUUGCCAAGAAUGUUUUCAUUAAUCAAGAACGAAAGUUAGAGGAUCGAAGGCGAUCAGAUACCGCCCUAGUUCUAACCAUAAACGAUGCUAACCAGCGAUCCGUCGGCGUCAUUCCCACGACUCGACGGGCAGCCCCCGGGAAACCAAAGUCUUUGAGUUCCGGGGGAAGUAUGGUUGCAAAGCUGAAACUUAAAGGAAUUGACGGAAGGGCACCACCAGGAGUGGAGCCUGCGGCUUAAUUUGACUCAACACGGGAAACCUCACCAGGCCCAGACACYGGAAGGAUUGACAGAUUGAGAGCUCUUUCUCGAUUCAGUGGGUGGUGGUGCAUGGCCGUUCUUAGUUGGUGGAGCGAUCUGUCUGGUUGAUUCCGAUAACGAACGAGACUCUUCCCUGCUAACUAGUCGGCGAAUCGUCUCCCGAGACGGGUUCUUCCGCGGGUGUUUCGGGGUGGCUCCUUUCCUCGGUGCUGCUGCUGCUGCUGCUGCUGCUUCCGCGCGCGGGCGCGCUCGACUUCGCUUCGGUGGAGUUGGAGUCGUCGUUCGCCGCGGACCGGUGGUGGUGGUGGUGGUGGUAUGCGGGGCGUUCGGGGUUCGCUUCCGUUCUUCGCGCGUUGAGCCCAGCGAGGGGCGUUCGUCGCAACAUCUUCUUAGAGGGAUUGGCGGCGUCCAGCCGCAAGAGAUAGAGCAAUAACAGGUCUGUGAUGCCCUUAGAUGUUCUGGGCCGCACGCGCGCUACACUGAAGGGAUCAGCGUGCUUUCCCACUCCGAAAGGAGCGGGUAACCCGAUGAAACCCCUUCCCGAUUGGGAUUGGGGAUUGCAAGUGUUUCCCAUGAACGAGGAAUUCCCAGUAAGCGCAAGUCAUCAGCUUGCGUUGAUUACGUCCCUGCCCUUUGYACACACCGCCCGUCGCUACUACCGAUUGAAUGAUUCAGUGAGGGCAUCGGACUGGCGCCCUCGGUAGCCUUCGGUUCGCGCUAAAACCCCGCUUCGGCGGGGGCGGCCGGCGGCACCCCGGGCUGACGGAAAGAUGUCCGAACUUGAUCAUUUAGAGGAAGUAAAAGUCGUAACAAGG